UAUAAAUCAAGGCCAAGUUCCUGGGCUUGAAGUAAUCUAAUAAAAGAACCAAAAUGGGCAAUUAAGCUCAGCACUUCCUUGUGGUUCAACAUGCCUUUGCAUUUCCACAUCCAGCCAUUUCCACAACAGCAUGGGGAGGGAACUUCCUGUUCUUUUCACAGUUUGGAGCUGUCUCAUCUUGUGAAAACCUCAUCUUUGAAUGCUGCAUGUGCUGUCAUAAAAUGAGAGAUCAAAAAACCUCAGCAACUGAGCAGUGCUUUUGGAAGAUCCAGCUCUGCUUCUGUGAAAUUCAGUGGCAAAAAUCCAGUUCUUCAUUGUCCGUCUUAGUGGAUGAUACUGGUUCAUCAGUUGCAGGAAUAUUCGUCAUAUAAUUAGAUGUGUCAGCUGUCAAGCUCACAGUCUGAACAGCACGUGCCUCCUGAAGUUCUUGCUGAACUUGGAAGCAACACCCUGGAAGCUGAUGGAGCUACACAAACAUGUGAUCCCAACAGAAAGAAGAAGCGGGCUCUUUUAUGCAACAUACUUUAUGUGAGAGACCUUACUGUGAACUCAGACGGUGAAAUACUUGCCUGUUGGUCUGUUCAAAAGCUGAAAGAUCUUUUUGUAAGUCACCUCAAUUCUAUACGAGAG
rnacentral:lncRNA from 1 species